rnacentral:rRNA from 1 species
UAGGGAAUCUUCGGCAAUGGACGGAAGUCUGACCGAGCAACGCCGCGUGAGUGAAGAAGGUUUUCGGAUCGUAAAGCUCUGUUGUUAGAGAAGAACGUUGGCAGGAGUGGAAAAUCUACCAAGUGACGGUAACUAACCAGAAAGGGACGGCUAACUACGUGCCAGCAGCCGCGGUAAUACGUAGGUCCCGAGCGUUGUCCGGAUUUAUUGGGCGUAAAGCGAGCGCAGGCGGUUCUUUAAGUCUGAAGUUAAAGGCAGUGGCUUAACCAGUGUACGCUUUGGAAACUGGAGGACUUGAGUGCAGAAGGGGAGAGUGGAAUUCCAUGUGUAGCGGUGAAAUGCGUAGAUAUAUGGAGGAACACCGGUGGCGAAAGCGGCUCUCUGGUCUGUAACUGACGCUGAGGCUCGAAAGCGUGGGGAGCAAACAGG